GCCAAUUUCCACCCUCUCUCUGGAAACUGUCAUUAGGGUUAGGGAAACUGUCAUGAGAUCUGCAUAUUUUAGAUAGAGGCUGCUUGCCUUAUUUGGGCACCUAAUGAAAAAGACAUGGAGGCCAGGUGCGGUGGCUCAUGUCUGUAAUCCCAGCACUUUGGGAGGCCAAGGCGAGUGGAUCACCUGAGGUCAGGAGUUCGAGACCAGCCUGACCAACAUGGCAAAACCCCGUCUGUACUAAAAGUGCAAACACAAAGGGAACUGCGUGGCUUGUUUCUACCUGAACAUUGUCAAGUGAUUUCAUCCUUUGAAACACAGUUGUGAAGUGUGUCCAGCAGUCUGAGAACAAGAAGAAGAAGAAAAUCUAAUCCUUCAGGGUGUCUGUGUGCCAGCCCUGCUCUCAGCACUUCCCAUGUGGAACUCCUUUACUUCUCCUAACAACUCCAUGACAUGGGUUAGACUGUGAUUGUUCCCAUAUUGUUGGUAGGGAAACUGAGGCAUGCAGGUGUUACAGAGCUCUCUCAAGUGGCAAGCUUUCUGGGUGGUUACAGAGUGGCAGAGCUGGGGUAUCCCAUGAUGUCACCACACUGCUAUAUGGAAAAGAACAUUAAUCGAGCACCUACGUGCUUGAUUCUCUUAAUUCUGUGACUGAACUCUCAAAACACCCUGGGUUGGUUUCCUUUUUACAACUGCCCAAGUCAUGAGUUCAUAGGGCCUGGAUGGCUGUACCGGAUUGCUCUCCAGCUGGUCUCUCUGCAUCCAGAAAUUUCUACAACCUACUGGGAAGCAAGCAGCAUGCUGGAGACCCUCAAAUACAUGUGAAAUGAAGGGACACCUUGUGUUAUUUCACCUGUUUCCACCUGGUUCCCAAGUGGCAAGCUUGCAUUGAGGUUACAAAGUGGCAAAGCUGGGAUAUCACAUGAUGUCACCAUGAUGCUAUAUGAAAUGUAACAUUAAUUGAGUACCUAUGUGACCAGUUCUUUAAUUCUGUAAGUGAACUCUCAAAAAACCCUAGGUAAGUAUUAUCAACUCGAACUUUAACGGAUGAGGAAACUGGAAUUUUUUAAAAAAUGACUUAACCAAACAUCACAGAGCUGUAAACCAGGAUUUGAAUGGGUGAGCUGCACUCAGCCUUCAUCUCAAGUCAGUUUGCCUCUUUCUCCAAGAAGCCACAGUUGAUCCUGACCACAUCACAUAUGAGUUGCCUGGAUUGCAGUCAUUCAUUCACUAAGCAUCUUUUAGGAGGUCACAUGCCAGGCACCGUGUUAGGUAAUGAUUUCUCCAAGUCACAGGAGCCGUGGUUCUGACUUUAGAAAGUUUCUCAUCUGAUGGGAGGGCAGGCAAGUAAAUCAGUAAGGGUGGUCCCUGUCGGGACACUGGUUGAGAAAUACCCAGGAACACUCUGAUUGAGAAAUACCCAAAGUGCAAAGUGACAGGGACUAGAGGCAUCUCCACUGGACCAGAGAGCUCUGGAUUCGUCUUGAGCUAAGUCUCUGGAGGUAGGUGUCAGCUACAAGGAGAAAAGCUGUAUAUUUUGAGAUAUGGGAUGCAGGGCCUUUUAGUUCCAUAAAUAAGAGAACUAUGGUGUGAAUACCACAUGCCCUGGGCUGAACUAAGUGGGCUCUAGGGGAAGGUAUACUGGGCAGGGAGUUUGGAGAACUGGUUUCUGUCUAAUCCUUCUCUAACUCUGUGACCUUGAAUGCAUCAUUUCCCCUCUGAGUCUCAGAUUCUCUUUCUGGCUGGCAUUUAAUGAAACCUAAAUAUUCUAGACCUUCUACUUGUUCCAUAAGUGCUCAGUCCUACACUCACUCUCCUCUGGCACCAAUAUACUGAUUACUCAUUUUAUGCCCAGCAGAGCACUGCGUGUUUUGAAAUAUACAAAUAGUGGGAAACGAAAUCUUUGUUCUGGAUGCAGUUAUAAUUUGGAAAGCGAGGAAAUAAAUUAUAACAAGGGGAAAAAACAGACACAGAGGGAUUGAAAUGCAUAACAAUAGAGAUGAAACACGAAGAGUGAUAAAUGAAGAUUGAGUGUGCACACCUUCUGGAGGAGCCCUGAUUGAGUAUUUUAACACAGAAGUGGGUGAGAGCAAAGUUGUGUCAGAGUAAGACAAUGACACCAAGCCAGAUGGUUAUCAAAAUCCACAGGAACAAAUGAAGAGAACCAGAAAUUGCAAAUAAGAAGGACAGAGUACCAGAGAGGAGAGAGAGGUACAGAGAAUUAUGGAGGUGGCUUCCGUUGAGUAUGCAGCUAAGUAAUGAUUAAUGCAUACAUAUAAGAAACUACUGGAUGACAGAGAAAGAACCACAAGCAAUUUAAAGAAUACUACUAAAGUCAUGCCGUGUGACUUCUGAAGCUAGCUCCUAAGAAGUCCUUGCAGCUUCUGCCUGCGACUCUUAGAACACUUGCUUUGAAGGAUGCCAGAUGCUGUCUUAAAAGUCUGAGCACUCUGAAACCAUCAUGCUGUGAGGAAGCCCAAGCUAACCACAUGGGCAAAAAAGAUGCCCUCUGACUGCCACCAUUUGAGACACUCUAAUUAAGAACUGCCUCAUUGAGCCCAUGAGGCCCUGUGAAUGAUAAUAAUAAAUUGUUUUUAACCACUAUGUUUUUGGAUUUGUUAUAAGUUUAUAGAUAACAAGAAAAAGUUAUAUUAGCAUGGUAAUAAAAUUAUGGAUAUGUGUAA
rnacentral:lncRNA from 1 species